GCCUAUGGUGCCGUCGCGCGAAUCUGAGGGAGCUUGGUCCCAAAGAUUAGCGGCGGACGGGUGAGUAACACGUGGGCAACCUGCCUGUAAGACUGGGAUAACUUCGGGAAACCGGAGCUAAUACCGGAUAAUCCCAUUCCUCACAUGAGGAAAGGCUGAAAGACGGUUUCGGCUGUCACUUACAGAUGGGCCCGCGGCGCAUUAGCUAGUUGGUGAGGUAACGGCUCACCAAGGCCACGAUGCGUAGCCGACCUGAGAGGGUGAUCGGCCACACUUGGACUGAAACACGGCCCAAACUCCUACGGGAGGCAGCAGUAGGGAAUCUUCCGCAAUGGACGAAAGUCUGACGGAGCAACGCCGCGUGAGUGAUGAAGGUUUUCGGAUCGUAAAACUCUGUUGUUAGGGAAGAAGAAGUAUCGGAGUAACUGCCGGUACCUUGACGGAACCUAACCACAAAGCCACGGCUAACUACGUGCCAGCAGCCGCGGUAAUACGUAGGUGGCAAGCGUUGUCCGGAAUUAUUGGGCGUAAUGCGCGCGCAGGUGGUUCCCUAAGUCUGAUGUGAAAGCCCACGGCUCAACCGUGGAGGGUCAUUGGAAACUGGGGAACUUGAGUGCAGAAGAGGAAAGUGGAAUUCCAAGUGUAGCGGUGAAAUGCGUAGAGAUUUGGAGGAACACCAGUGGCGAAGGCGACUUUCUGGUCUGUAACUGACACUGAGGCGCGAAAGCGUGGGGAGCGAACAGGAUUAGAUACCCUGGUAGUCCACGCCGUAAACGAUGAGUGCUAAGUGUUAGAGGGUUUCCGCCCUUUAGUGCUGCAGCAAACGCAUUAAGCACUCCGCCUGGGGAGUACGACCGCAAGGUUGAAACUCAAAGGAAUUGUCGGGGGCCCGCACAAGCCGUGGAGCAUGUGGUUUAAUUCGAAGCAACGCGAAGAACCUUACCAGGUCUUGACAUCC
rnacentral:rRNA from 2 species